GGUUGAGUGUCCGAGCGGUCUAAGGAGCACGCCUCGAAAGCGUGUGAGGGCAACUCCCUCCGCGAGUUCGAAUCUCGCCUCAACCGCCA
rnacentral:tRNA from 3 species